rnacentral:lncRNA from 1 species
UGCAACAGCUUCACGUCGCCUGACCCCCACAAGGGCCUCGUCCUCCUGCCUAAGACGGAGUGCGACGUGCGGGAAGUGGAGCUGAUGCGGUGCCUGCGGCUGCGUCAGUCCUCCCUGGAGCCUGUGGCCUUCCGGCUGCCCCGAGUCCGGAAAGAGUUCUUCCAGGAUGACGUGUUCCCAGACACGGCUGUGAUCUGGGAGCCUGUGCUCAGUGCCGAGGCCUGGCUGCAAGGCGCUAAUGGGCAGCCCUGGCUUCUCAGCCUGCAGCCUCCUGACAUGAGCCCAGGUGCACCGAGGGACUGGGUGUGGGGAGGAAGCGGGAUGGGGGUUGGAGAAAGGGACAGAAGGCCCAGGUUGAAGUUCCAUUCCUGUUGGCACGCAGAAUCCUCUGGCCUUUGGGAGGGUGGAGUGGCUGUGUCAAUCAGUCUCUGAGCCAGUGGAGGGCAGGGCUCGUGGUCUGUGUUUUCAUCACAGGUCCCCACCCCUAACA